CCUACGGGAGGCAGCAGUCGAGAAUCAUUCACAAUGGGGGAAACCCUGAUGGUGCGACGCCGCGUGGGGGAAUGAAGGUCUUCGGAUUGUAAACCCCUGUCAUGUGGGAGCAAAUUAAAAAGAUAGUACCACAAGAGGAAGAGACGGCUAACUCUGUGCCAGGAGCCGCGGUAAUACAGAGGUCUCAAGCGUUGUUCGGAAUCACUGGGCGUAAAGCGUGCGUAGGCUGUUUCGUAAGUCGUGUGUGAAAGGCGCGGGCUCAACCCGCGGACGGCACAUGAUACUGCGAGACUAGAGUAAUGGAGGGGGAACCGGAAUGCUCGGUGUAGCAGUGAAAUGCGGAGAUAUCGGGAGGAACACUCGUGGCGAAGGCGGGUUCCUGGACAUUAACUGACGCUGAGGCACGAAGGCCAGGGGAGCGAAAGGGAUUAGAUACCCUGGUAGUC
rnacentral:rRNA from 1 species